UACGUAGGGUGCAAGCGUUGUCCGGAAUUAUUGGGCGUAAAGAGCUCGUAGGCGGUCUGUCGCGUCUGCUGUGAAAACUCAGGGCUUAACCCUGAGCUUGCAGUGGGUACGGGCAGACUAGAGUGCGGUAGGGGAGACUGGAAUUCCUGGUGUAGCGGUGAAAUGCGCAGAUAUCAGGAGGAACACCGGUGGCGAAGGCGGGUCUCCUGGGCCGUAACUGGACGCUGGAGGAGCGAAAGCAUGGGGAGCGAACAGG
rnacentral:rRNA from 1 species